rnacentral:lncRNA from 1 species
UUUUAAAAUAUAACUUUUUGAUUUAUUUUUUUUUAAAGUAAAAAAACUGAAUUCAUGAUUCACAUGAUAACUUUCUUAAUUUUUUAUUUUUAUUUUUUAAAUAAUUUGUAGCGGGUAAAAGUUGCUUUACUAAAGAAAUAAUGUAAUCUCAUCCAAAUCAAUGGCGCCGCCGCAAGCGAAAUCGGACAGUACUUAUCUGGGCGCCUCCGGCGAUACCUCUACUAGGAGAAGCGUGACGACUUGUUUCAUGGUGAGUCUCCCCUGAGGAUCUGGGUGGCAACAAGACAACCCAAGCUUCCACACGUGCAUCUUCAUGUCUCCCAAAAGAGGAGAAGAAGCUCAAACCCAUGUUGGGGAACCUCCGCCGCCGUAGAAGGAGGAACACGGUGAGAGAACGGAGCAAGAGCCAAACAAGCCGCCGCUAGGAGUAGGGGUUAUCAGUCGCCUCCCGCACACCACCUCAAUGUUGUAUUAAGUCUGGAU